rnacentral:rRNA from 1 species
GACGAACGCUGGUGGCGUGCUUAACACAUGCAAGUCGAACGGAAAGGCCCUGCUUUUGUGGGGUGCUCGAGUGGCGAACGGGUGAGUAACACGUGAGUAACCUGCCCUUGACUUUGGGAUAACUUCAGGAAACUGGGGCUAAUACCGGAUAGGAGCUCCUGCUGCAUGGUGGGGGUUGGAAAGUUUCGGCGGUUGGGGAUGGACUCGCGGCUUAUCAGCUUGUUGGUGGGGUAGUGGCUUACCAAGGCUUUGACGGGUAGCCGGCCUGAGAGGGUGACCGGCCACAUUGGGACUGAGAUACGGCCCAGACUCCUACGGGAGGCAGCAGUGGGGAAUAUUGCACAAUGGGCGGAAGCCUGAUGCAGCAACGCCGCGUGCGGGAUGACGGCCUUCGGGUUGUAAACCGCUUUCGCCUGUGACGAAGCGUGAGUGACGGUAAUGGGUAAAGAAGCACCGGCUAACUACGUGCCAGCAGCCGCGGUGAUACGUAGGGUGCGAGCGUUGUCCGGAUUUAUCGGGCGUAAAGGGCUCGUAGGUGGUUGAUCGCGUCGGAAGUGUAAUCUUGGGGCUUAACCCUGAGCGUGCUUUCGAUACGGGUUGACUUGAGGAAGGUAGGGGAGAAUGGAAUUCCUGGUGGAGCGGUGGAAUGCGCAGAUAUCAGGAGGAACACCAGUGGCGAAGGCGGUUCUCUGGGCCUUUCCUGACGCUGAGGAGCGAAAGCGUGGGGAGCGAACAGGCUUAGAUACCCUGGUAGUCCACGCUGUAAACGGUGGGUACUAGGUGUGGGGUCCAUUCCACGGGUUCCGUGCCGUAGCUAACGCUUUAAGUACCCCGCCUGGGGAGUACGGCCGCAAGGCUAAAACUCAAAGGAAUUGACGGGGCCCCGCACAAGCGGCGGAGCAUGCGGAUUAAUUCGAUGCAACGCGUAGAACCUUACCUGGGUUUGACAUGGAUCGGGAGUGCUCAGAGAUGGGUGUGCCUCUUUUGGGGUCGGUUCACAGGUGGUGCAUGGCUGUCGUCAGCUCGUGUCGUGAGAUGUUGGGUUAAGUCCCGCAACGAGCGCAACCCUUGUUCACUGUUGCCAGCACGUUAUGGUGGGGACUCAGUGGAGACCGCCGGGGUCAACUCGGAGGAAGGUGGGGAUGACGUCAAGUCAUCAUGCCCCUUAUGUCCAGGGCUUCACGCAUGCUACAAUGGCUGGUACAGAGAGUGGCGAGCCUGUGAGGGUGAGCGAAUCUCGGAAAGCCGGUCUCAGUUCGGAUUGGGGUCUGCAACUCGACCUCAUGAAGUCGGAGUCGCUAGUAAUCGCAGAUCAGCAACGCUGCGGUGAAUACGUUCCCGGGGCUUGUACACACCGCCCGUCAAGUCAUGAAAGUUGGUAACACCCGAGGCCGGUGGCCUAACCGUUGUGGGGGAGCCGUCGAAGGUGGGACUGGUGAUUAGGACUAAGUCAUAACA